rnacentral:rRNA from 1 species
GUAGCUGGUCUGAGAGGAUGACCAGCCACACUGGAACUGAGACACGGUCCAGACUCCUACGGGAGGCAGCAGUGGGGAAUAUUGGACAAUGGGGGCAACCCUGAUCCAGCAAUGCCGCGUGUGUGAAGAAGGCCUGAGGGUUGUAAAGCACUUUCAGUGGGGAGGAGGGUUGAUAGGUUAAGAGCUAAUUAAYUGGACGUUACCCACAGAAGAAGCACCGGCUAACUCCGUGCCAGCAGCCGCGGUAAUACGGAGGGUGCGAGCGUUAAUCGGAAUUACUGGGCGUAAAGGGUGCGUAGGUGGUUUAUUAAGUUAUCUGUGAAAUCCCUGGGCUUAACCUGGGCAGGUCAGAUAAUACUGGUUGACUCGAGUAUGG